rnacentral:snoRNA from 1 species
CUGUAGCCAAUUAAGGCAACCAGGUUUCUUUCCUCUCCUCAUGGGGGCCCAGUGUGCAAUGCCAACUCCUUGUUUGUGUGAGCAACCUGCUGCUUGUAUAGACUGCUCUAAGGGACCUUGGAGAAUUUC